rnacentral:rRNA from 1 species
GACGAACGCUGGCGGCGUGCUUAACACAUGCAAGUCGAACGGUAAGGCCCUUCGGGGUACACGAGUGGCGAACGGGUGAGUAACACGUGGGUGAUCUGCCCUGCACUUCGGGAUAAGCCUGGGAAACUGGGUCUAAUACCGGAUAGGACCCUGGGAUGCAUGUCCUGGGGUGGAAAGCUUUUGCGGUGUGGGAUGGGCCCGCGGCCUAUCAGCUUGUUGGUGGGGUGAUGGCCUACCAAGGCGACGACGGGUAGCCGGCCUGGGAGGGUGGCCGGCCACACUGGGACUGCGAUACGUCCCAGACUCCUUCGGGAGGCAGCAGUGGGGAAUAUUGCACAAUGGGCGCAAGCCUUAUGCAGCGACGCCGCGUGAGGGAUGACGGCCUUCGGGUUGUAACCCUCUUUCAGCACCGACGAAGCGCAAGUGACGGUAGGUGCAGAAGAAGGACCGGCCAACUACGUGCCAGCCGCCGCCGUAA